ensembl:lncRNA LINC01115 long intergenic non-protein coding RNA 1115
GACGUUUAAAUCUUGGCUCCUGCUCCUGCCGUCUAGACAAAGGGCGCACCCAUUGCCGUCUCAGACACCAGAGGCUCCCACUUGACCAGGAAAUUGACCUAACACACUCCUUAAUGAGAGAAUUUCUGGAUGAUUCCGGCUGUUCCUGCACAGACACUCACUGUGUUGUCUCAGAAGGAAAAUGCAUUUGAUUAUUGCGUUCACUCUGGCUGCGGCACCAUGAAAGGAAACUAAGAGCUGGGGACCCCAUUUACUCUGCAAAGAGGAGGAAUGAAGCUGGAAGACGAGUCGUGCAAGCAGCUGCCUUUCCUUUUGUUCCUAAGCAGAGAACGACAGAUAGAAGGUGAUGCAUCUCCACAAGCAGCUGCUCUAUGUCCACUUUGUCUUAUGGAAAGUGCAGAGUUGCUGGGCAGGAGGUGGUUGCGCAGUUGACUGUUCUGCCUGUCCUUUCCUCUUGCCGCAUGUGGAUGACCACACCCUUCCUCUUUCCCCUCCAGCUCCCAUUUCCCCUUCAACUAUAGAAGCUCUUAGCAUCAUCUUUGGAGAAAGGCACACACCAUGGACUGUUUUUGUGAUUCCGUGUUGUUAUUUUUCUCCUGAGCAUGCGGUUAACAUUGGCAAAACAAACUUCUAAACUGAUUGAGACCCAUCUCAGAUACUUUUUGGUUUACAACAGGAAUUGGGGUGAAACCCCACCACAUUUACACUAUGCAGAGCUGGAAAAGGGAGGAAAGAUUGAAUCUUGCCCAGAGGCUUAGGUCCUGAAGGUUCAAUUCUGGAUGAUCCUUUCAGGUAGAUUUCAAGGGGAAAGCAAAAGCAUCAAAAUGAAUCCUUAUGAAGAAGCAUUUCUAAGCCUGAAUCUUGGAGACAAAAAUAUGAUGUUUUCCUCAACAACACAGAGUCAGCAGGAAGAAAGAUAAACAUUGCUGUCCUGAGCUGGCACGUGACUUAUGAGGGUUAGCCAUGGUGAAUCUGUAUGAGUCUGCAGCAACCUCAGUUCUUGUCUCCUCGGAAGAAAGACUUUCAUUGAGGGGCAUAGGCAGAAGGAGAGACUAAGGCAAGUUUUAGUGGAGGAGAGAAAGCGUAUUAAAAAGCCUAGAGUGGGAACAAAAGAAAGGAAAGUCCACUUGGAAGAAGGCAAGUUGGUGGCUUGAGCAAGUCAAGUGUGUGGUUUGACCUUUGACUUGGAGUUGUAUCCAUUGGCAUGCUUUCAGUUGCAUCCCUUUCCCCUGAUUAUUCCCAUGCGGUGGGCUGUCCGCAUGCACAGUGGCCUGCCAGCCCUUGGGAGGGGCCAUGUGCACAGUAGGUUUACUGAAGUUGUACGUCUGCUUGCUUGAGGCGUUCUUCCCAUAGUAGCUGAAUAUUCCUGGAAGGUCAUAUACCAGUUAAACUCCACCAUUUUGCCUUUUAGUGUGCGUGCUUGAGCCUGCUCACCCAGCUCCUGAGAUCUUAUGGGGAAGCUGCUGAUCCAGUUUCAGGUGUUUUCUGUCCAUUGGGAAACUGCUGUUCCCUGGUGCCAGCUGUGACCAAUUAUUUUGGAGAGACUGUUAACCACCUCCUGGCCAUCACCUGAUAGUUACCUGACAUUCCUGGCCAGGGGGGCUCUCACGUCUGCCUGACUUCCUGCUGUAGCAUUUCCCCCUCAAGAGUCCAAGACCCCAAUUUUGGGGGAAAAUGGAUUAAGGUCAGUCUUCUGUAACUGCUUCCUGUUGACACACGGGCAGUGGUGGUGGUUCUGUGGGUCUUGGCCUCUUGCUGCUGUCAGGGAAGGCAGAUGACUCUUUAGGUUGGUGAAAGCAGUGUCUAGCCAGGUCCAAGGGAGAUGGGGCAAGAUUUCAACUCUGUUGCUUUACACUGAUGGGCAGUCUAAGGGUCCUCUGUAGAAGGAUGGCUCUUGAAUCUUGAGAGGAUGGUAUUCCGCUGAGGGUCAUCUGGAACUUGAUGGCCUGAAGGCAGGAGGAGACAUAUCAGGUUAUUAGAUUUAGAAGACAUGGACCAUGAAGGAGCAAAAGUAGGAGACUAACAAGUGGUCUUCAAAGGGAAAAACCCAGGAGAGCCAUUUCUAGGUUCCUUCCCCAGGUUCCUUUUGGAGAACAAGCCAGCCCUGAGAGGCUUGUUCCCACAAACAAGAGGCUGCAUUUACAAGUUGUCUGAUGUUGUCUUGUACUUUUCCUGAUUGAUUUACCCAAAAGCAAUAUUUUUUAUUUGAGGCUAAGGAAACUCCUCUCUGAGCUGCUGUGAACAUUAGUUAACAUUGGUCCUACCUGUUGUGUGUUAGUGUUAGUCCUUAAUGAUUUGAAGGACUAUGGCUGCUAAAGAGUGGAUCUGCUCUUGUCAGCCCUUAAUGAUUUGAAGGACUACGGCUGCUAAAGAGUGGAUCUGCUCUUGUUAGCCCUUAAUUCCAGUAUAUGCCCAAAAUUAGAAUAUUGAUCCAGAUUUUUGCAUUACCCAUCCCUCUUGUUUCUUCUGAGCUGCAGCCAGACAUCAUGGUUGGUUGAUAGGAGUGAGCAGGAUCAGUCUGAAUUGCAUGGAAAAAAAAACCUCAUGAACAACUGAUGAGACUGGAAUCUAAUAACAGGUGUACUACAGUUCUUGAAACAUAAUUUUUAUCUCUAUAGUCCUAAUUUUUAUUAAAAUCAAAUCAUGAUAGGACUGAUUCAUUUGCAAAAUAAGCUUUAGUCAUAUUAUACUUGGCCUGAUUAUUUGCAUAAAACAUAGCAAGAAUAAUCAUAACCUCUUUUUAAAAUUGGCUUUGAUAGAACUUUGUUCCGUAAGGAAUCUCAGAUAAGACUUUUUAAAGCCUUGAGCCCUGCCAUGGACUUGUGCCAUCAAAUACCUGUAUUAGCUGCAUAAAUUCUUCUUCUCUUCAGGUCCCAAGAUAACUUGGGUUCCUGGGCCUCUUAGAAAGUAACGUUCUUUACUUACUACAGGUCAGGAACCCUGCACAGGGACUGGGUAGACAAAGUAUUAGGCCAGUUUUCCCAACAGGCCUUUAUCGGCUCUAUAAGUGAACUUUGAUUCCUUAAAAGAGUCUGUUUGUGGCCGGGCGCGGUGGCUCACACCUGUAAUCCCAGCACUUUGGGAGGCCGAGGUAGGCGGAUCACGAAGUCAGGAGAUCAACACCAUCCUGGCUAACAUGGUGAAAUCCCGUCUCUACUAAAAAAAAAAUACAAAAAAGUAGCCAGAUGUGGUGGUGGAUGCCUAUAGUCCCAGCUGCUCGGGAGGCUGAGGCAGGAGAAUGGUGUGA